rnacentral:rRNA from 1 species
GUGUCAGCAGCCGCGGUAAUACGAAAGGUGCAAGCGUUACUCGGAAUCACUGGGCGUAAAGCGCACGUAGGCGGACUCGUAGGUCAAUUGUGAAAUACCUGGGCUCAACCCGGGAACUGCAGUUGAAACCGCUUGUCUUGAAUACCUGAGAGGGUGGGGGAAUACCUGGUGGAGAAGUGAAAUUCGUAGAGAUCAGGUGGAACACCGGAGGCGAAGGCGCCUGCCUGGCAGUGUAUUGACGCUGAGGUGCGAAAGUGCGGGGAGCAAACAGGAUUAGAAACCCUCGUAGUCC